rnacentral:rRNA from 1 species
UACGUAGGGCGCAAGCGUUGUCCGGAAUUAUUGGGCGUAAAGAGCUCGUAGGCGGCCUGUUGCGUCCGCUGUGAAAGCCCCGGGGCUUAACCCCCGGGUCUGCAGUGGAUACGGGCAGGCUAGAGGUAGGUAGGGGAGAAUGGAAUUCCCGGUGUAGCGGUGAAAUGCGCAGAUAUCGGGAGGAACACCGGUGGCGAAGGCGGUUCUCUGGGCCUUACCUGACGCUGAGGAGCGAAAGCGUGGGGAGCGAACAGG